rnacentral:rRNA from 1 species
GGGACUUGUAUGAAUGGCCACACGAGGGCUUUACUGUCUCUUGCUUCCAAUCCGUGAAAUUGACCUUCCCGUGAAGAGGCGGGAAUAUAACAAUAAGACGAGAAGACCCUAUGGAGCUUUAAUUAAUCGACUCAAAGAGACCCACUAACUAACCGACAGGAACAACAAACCUCUAUAUGAGCCGACAAUUUAGGUUGGGGUGACCUCGGAGAAUAAAACAACCUCCGAGUGAUUUAAAUCUAGACUAACCAGUCAAAAGUAUUACAUCACUUAUUGAUCCAAAAACUUGAUCAACGGAACAAGUUACCCUAGGGAUAACAGCGCAAUCCUAUUUUAGAGUCCAUAUCGACAAUAGGGUUUACGAC